AUUGAACGCUGGCGGCAGGCCUAACACAUGCAAGUCGAACGGUAACAGGAAGCAGCUUGCUGCUUCGCUGACGAGUGGCGGACGGGUGAGUAAUGUCUGGGGAUCUGCCCGAUGGAGGGGGAUAACCACUGGAAACGGUGGCUAAUACCGCAUAACGUCGCAAGACCAAAGUGGGGGACCUUCGGGCCUCACACCAUCGGAUGAACCCAGAUGGGAUUAGCUAGUAGGUGGGGUAACGGCUCACCUAGGCGACGAUCCCUAGCUGGUCUGAGAGGAUGACCAGCCACACUGGAACUGAGACACGGUCCAGACUCCUACGGGAGGCAGCAGUGGGGAAUAUUGCACAAUGGGCGCAAGCCUGAUGCAGCCAUGCCGCGUGUAUGAAGAAGGCCUUCGGGUUGUAAAGUACUUUCAGCGGGGAGGAAGGGAUGGUGCUUAAUACGCGCCGUCAUUGACGUUACCCGCAGAAGAAGCACCGGCUAACUCCGUGCCAGCAGCCGCGGUAAUACGGAGGGUGCAAGCGUUAAUCGGAAUUACUGGGCGUAAAGCGCACGCAGGCGGUCUGUUAAGUCAGAUGUGAAAUCCCCGGGCUUAACCUGG
rnacentral:rRNA from 1 species